rnacentral:rRNA from 1 species
UGGCUCAGAACGAACGCUGGCGGCAUGGCUAAAACAUGCAAGUCGAGCGCGAAAUCCGCCGCAAGGCGGAGAGUAGAGCGGCGAAAGGGUGAGUAAUACGUUCCUACGUGCCUUGAGGUCAGGGAUAGCCAGGGGAAACUCUGGGUAAUACCUGAUGUGGUCUGCGGAUCAAAGGCUUGCCGCCUCAAGAGCGGGGAACGUCCUAUCAGGUAGUUGGUGAGGUAACGGCUCAGCAAACCUAUGACGGGUAGCGGGUGUGAGAGCAUGGCCCGCCACAUCUGGAACUGAGACACGGACCGGACUCCUACGGGA